CACGUAGGGGGCAAGCGUUGUCCGGAUUUAUUGGGCGUAAAGAGCUCGUAGGCGGCUCAGUAAGUCGGGUGUGAAACCCCCGGGCUCAACCCGGGGACGCCACCCGAUACUGCUGUGGCUUGAGUCCGGUAGGGGAGCGUGGAAUUCCUGGUGUAGCGGUGAAAUGCGCAGAUAUCAGGAGGAACACCAGCGGCGAAGGCGGCGCUCUGGGCCGGAACUGACGCUGAGGAGCGAAAGCGUGGGGAGCGAACAGG
rnacentral:rRNA from 1 species